rnacentral:rRNA from 1 species
CCUACGGGAGGCAGCAGUGAGGAAUAUUGGUCAAUGGACGAGAGUCUGAACCAGCCAAGUAGCGUGAAGGAUGACUGCCCUAUGGGUUGUAAACUUCUUUUAUAUGGGAAUAAAACAGGGUAUGCAUACCCUCUUGUAUGUACCAUAUGAAUAAGGAUCGGCUAACUCCGUGCCAGCAGCCGCGGUAAUACGGAGGAUCCGAGCGUUAUCCGGAUUUAUUGGGUGUAAAGGGAGCGUAGGUGGAUUGUUAAGUCAGUUGUGAAAGUUUGCGGCUCAACCGUAAAAUUGCAGUUGAAACUGGCAGUCUUGAGUACAGUAGAGGUGGGCGGAAUUCGUGGUGUAGCGGUGAAAUGCGUAGAUAUCACGAAGAACUCCGAUUGCGAAGGCAGCUCACUGGACUGCAACUGACACUGAUGCUCGAAAGUGUGGGUAGCAAACAGGAUUAGAUACCCGAGUAGUC